GAUGAACGCUGGCGGCGUGCCUAAUACAUGCAAGUCGAGCGAACGGACGAGAAGCUUGCUUCUCUGAUGUUAGCGGCGGACGGGUGAGUAACACGUGGAUAACCUACCUAUAAGACUGGGAUAACUUCGGGAAACCGGAGCUAAUACCGGAUAAUAUUUUGAACCGCAUGGUUCAAAAGUGAAAGACGGUCUUGCUGUCACUUAUAGAUGGAUCCGCGCUGCAUUAGCUAGUUGGUAAGGUAACGGCUUACCAAGGCAACGAUGCAUAGCCGACCUGAGAGGGUGAUCGGCCACACUGGAACUGAGACACGGUCCAGACUCCUACGGGAGGCAGCAGUAGGGAAUCUUCCGCAAUGGGCGAAAGCCUGACGGAGCAACGCCGCGUGAGUGAUGAAGGUCUUCGGAUCGUAAAACUCUGUUAUUAGGGAAGAACAUAUGUGUAAGUAACUGUGCACAUCUUGACGGUACCUAAUCAGAAAGCCACGGCUAACUACGUGCCAGCAGCCGCGGUAAUACGUAGGUGGCAAGCGUUAUCCGGAAUUAUUGGGCGUAAAGCGCGCGUAGGCGGUUUUUUAAGUCUGAUGUGAAAGCCCACGGCUCAACCGUGGAGGGUCAUUGGAAACUGGAAAACUUGAGUGCAGAAGAGGAAAGUGGAAUUCCAUGUGUAGCGGUGAAAUGCGCAGAGAUAUGGAGGAACACCAGUGGCGAAGGCGACUUUCUGGUCUGUAACUGACGCCGAUGUGCGAAAGCGUGGGGAUCAAACAGGAUUAGAUACCCUGGUAGUCCACGCCGUAAACGAUGAGUGCUAAGUGUUAGGGGGUUUCCGCCCCUUAGUGCUGCAGCUAACGCAUUAAGCACUCCGCCUGGGGAGUACGACCGCAAGGUUGAAACUCAAAGGAAUUGACGGGGACCCGCACAAGCGGUGGAGCAUGUGGUUUAAUUCGAAGCAACGCGAAGAACCUUACCAAAUCUUGACAUCCUUUGACAACUCUAGAGAUAGAGCUUUCCCCUUCGGGGGACAAAGUGACAGGUGGUGCAUGGUUGUCGUCAGCUCGUGUCGUGAGAUGUUGGGUUAAGUCCCGCAACGAGCGCAACCCUUAAGCUUAGUUGCCAUCAUUAAGUUGGGCACUCUAAGUUGACUGCCGGUGACAAACCGGAGGAAGGUGGGGAUGGCGUCAAAUCAUCAUGCCCCUUAUGAUUUGGGCUACACACGUGCUACAAUGGACAAUACAAAGGGCAGCGAAACCGCGAGGUCAAGCAAAUCCCAUAAAGUUGUUCUCAGUUCGGAUUGUAGUCUGCAACUCGACUACAUGAAGCUGGAAUCGCUAGUAAUCGUAGAUCAGCAUGCUACGGUGAAUACGUUCCCGGGUCU
rnacentral:rRNA from 1 species